GCUCCUAUAAGUCAAUGGUAGACUACCGUUUUGAUACAGCGGAAAUCUUGGUUCGAUUCCAAGUUGGAGCU
rnacentral:tRNA from 1 species